GAUGAAGAACGCAGCGAAAUGCGAUAAGUAAUGUGAAUUGCAGAAUUCAGUGAAUCAUCGAAUCUUAGAACGCACAUUGCGCCCGCCAGUAUUCUGGCGGGCAUGCCUGUCCGAGCGUCAUUUCAACCCUCGAACCCCUCCGGGGGGUCGGCGUUGGGGAUCGGCCCUGCCUCUUGGCGGUGGCCGUCUCCGAAAUACAGUGGCGGUCUCGCCGCAGCCUCUCCUGCGCAGUAGUUUGCACACUCGCAUCGGGAGCGCGGCGCGUCCACAGCCGUUAAACACCCAACUUCUGAAAUGUUGACCUCGGAUCAGGUAGGAAUACCCGCUGAACUUAAGCAUAUCAAUAAGCGGAGGA
rnacentral:misc_RNA from 1 species